UACGUAGGUGGCAAGCGUUGUCCGGAUUCACUGGGCGUAAAGCGCGCGCAGGCGGUCUUCUACGUCUGGGGUGAAAACCCGGGGCUCAACCCCGGGACUGCCUUGGAUACGGGGAGACUUGAGGAUCGGAGAGGCAAGGGGAAUUCCACGUGUAGCGGUGAAAUGCGUAGAGAUGUGGAGGAACACCUGUGGCGAAGGCGCCUUGCUGGCCGAUUUCUGACGCUGAGGCGCGAAAGCGUGGGGAGCGAACAGG
rnacentral:rRNA from 1 species